GCAAUCUUUUCUCAGAAGAAAAUGGUAACAAGUGAGCGAAAGUGGUUACCGAAUUAGAAAUAUUCCUUUGAAAGGUUGAAGCAGCUGAAGUAGGUUAACAACUCUGUUUUAAAAGAAAUAAGGGUAUUUUAUAGGGUAGCUUAAUAAAUUCUGCAGCAUUUGCAUUUCAUAUCUAAUUUGCAGCUUUUCAGUAUAUUAUUGUUGUGAUGAAGCAAGUUUAUAU
rnacentral:misc_RNA from 1 species